rnacentral:tRNA from 1 species
GAUACCGUGGUGUAGCUGGUUAACAUGUCGGCGUGCAUUGCCGAAGUGCGGGUUCGAAUCUAGCUGGUACCC